GUCCUAUGUUAUGGCAUGUUUGCCAGACAUGUGUACUGAUGGACAGGAUAUUUGGAUGGCAUGGGUGCCUCUCAUUUGCUUUGAUAUCGUGGAGUGAUAUUUUCUAGAUCAUAUACUUAGACAGUUUGGCCUACAUCAAUCAAUACCACAGAUGUGCGACACAAGACUUGCUCUUCAUGGUAUAGACCGACGAGGCAGGUCCAACAUGGUUUAGGAUACUACACAUGCCACCUAUAUUGAGAGAUGAUACGAUCACCGACAUUAUAUUGUUUCUACUGAGCCUAUUAUUGGGAGUAUCUCAUGUAAUCGGGAGUACAUGGAGUGGUACCGAUCCAUUACUUGUUUAGUAGUGGGGAGGUCAAAUUAUUUAAAGCCUGAAUAUCAGAGUCAGGGAGAGAUGAUAAAGAUGGUGAUUGAUCAUUUGUCGGAUCUUAUGUUGGAUAUUCAUCAUGCUCUAUCUACGACUGAUGAGGAUGAGUGGACAUACGCCAGAUAUGAAAUAUACACUGUCAUCAUAUGUUCUACAUAUGCCAUCACCAUAUAUUUUGCAGAUGUCAUCGCCACAUGCUGCACAUAUGAUACCACCUUCUGAUCUAUGAAUGCCAGGGCCUUCAUCUUUCUAUGUGCUCCAGAUGGUGGCAUCGGAUCUCAGUUGGCAUUAUGAGUCUUCAUCUGAGUGGUCUGAAUAGUUGGGGACUAUUCGAGUCUCCUAUUAGUACGACUCUUUUGUUACAGGCCCAUUGUUGGAUCUAGAUGAGGGGGUCACUCAACUUGCAGAUGCUCUGACAGUAGCUGUUGAGAAGAUUGAUGGGGUUGAAGGGCCAUCAUAGGUGAUACAGGAGCAGGAGCGACCGUUGAAGAUCUUCCUGACAAGGUCCAAGCAAUCAUGGGCACCACAAUGUCUUGGUGAGACUUAGUAUUUUUUGGACUUGUACUUAGUAUUUUUUAGACUUGUAGUACUGUGGGAUUCCUUUUUGUAGACUUAAUAUUUUAAUUCUAUCUUAUAUUAUUAAUUAUUAUUUCUAUCA